AAAAGAAACCAACAGGGAUUGCCUUAGUAACGGCGAGUGAAGCGGCAAAAGCUCAAAUUUGAAAUCUGGCACCUUCGGUGUCCGAGUUGUAAUUUGAAGAAGGUAACUUUGGAGUUGGCUCUUGUCUAUGUUCCUUGGAACAGGACGUCACAGAGGGUGAGAAUCCCGUGCGAUGAGAUGCCCAAUUCUAUGUAAAGUGCUUUCGAAGAGUCGAGUUGUUUGGGAAUGCAGCUCUAAGUGGGUGGUAAAUUCCAUCUAAAGCUAAAUAUUGGCGAGAGACCGAUAGCGAACAAGUACAGUGAUGGAAAGAUGAAAAGAACUUUGAAAAGAGAGUGAAAAAGUACGUGAAAUUGUUGAAAGGGAAGGGCUUGAGAUCAGACUUGGUAUUUUGCGAUCCUUUCCUUCUUGGUUGGGUUCCUCGCAGCUUACUGGGCCAGCAUCGGUUUGGAUGGUAGGAUAAUGACUAAGGAAUGUGGCUCUACUUCGGUGGAGUGUUAUAGCCUUGGUUGAUACUGCCUGUCUAGACCGAGGACUGCGUCUUUGACUAGGAUGCUGGCAUAAUGAUCUU
rnacentral:rRNA from 1 species